CCUAUGUCUAUGCCUACAAGACAUGCUUCUAAGUCAUCCAAAAAGGACUCCUAGAUGCUCAUAGUCUGCCCUAAUGCCUAGAGGCCUUGAACAAGCCUCUUCAAUGCUAGUAACUACCGCCCCACUACCUGCUGUAAUAGCUGUAACGACUGUAACUGCCGUAACAGCUGAAACUGUUGUAACGGCUGCCUCUCCAACUGCUGCCUGCCCCUUGGCCUGCUGGCCAGCUGGGGCUGUCUGCCCCCUUGCACCUGCUGCUGGCUGCCAGGUUGAGUGGCGUUCUGCCUGGAUGGAUGGCGGGACGUCACACUAUGCUCUGUAUACAUUAGCAUGGGAUAAAAUUAUAGGAUUUCGGUCAUAUUACGUUGGCCUUCAGGAUCGGAGUAAUGAUUAACAAGGACAGUCAGGGGCAUUCGUAUUUCAUAGUCAGAGGUGAAAUUCUUGGAUUUAUGAAAGAUGAACAACUGCGAAAGCAUUUGCCAAGAAUAUUUUCAUUAACCAAGAACAAAAUUUGGGGGCUCGAAGAUGAUCAGAUACCGUCCUAGUCUCAACCAUAAAUGAUGUCGACUAGGGAUGGACGGAUGUUGCAUUUAGGACUCUGUCGCCACCUUAUGAGAAAUCAAAGUUUUUAGGUUCCGGGGGGAGUAUGGUUGCAAGGCUGAAACUUAAAGGUAUUGAUGGAAGGGCACCACUAGGAGUGGAGCCUGCGGCUUUAUUUGACUCAACACGGGGAAAACUUACUAGGUCCAAACAUAGUAAGGAUUAACAGAGUGAGAGCUCUUUCUUGAUUCUACGGGUGGUGGUGCAUGGCCGUUCUUAGUUGGUGAAGCGAUUUGUCUGGUUAAUUCCGUUAACGAACUAGACCUCAUCAUGCUAACUAGCUAUGCGGAGGUAUCCCUUCGCGGCCAGCUUCUUAGAGGGACUACGACAUUUUAGGCCGCGGAUGUUUGAGGCAAUAACAGGUCUGUGAUGCCCUUAGAUGUUAUGGGCCGCCACGCGCGCUACACUGAUUAUUCAAUGAGCUUAUAGCCUUGGCCGACAAGCCCGGGUAAUCUUUGAAAUUUCAUCGUGAUAGGGAUAUAUCAUUGCAUUUAUUGGUCUUCAACGAGGAAUUCCUAGUAAGCGCGAGUCAUCAGCUCGUGUUAACUACAUCCCUGCCCUUUGUACACACCGCCCGUUGCUCCUACCGAUUGAAUGAUUCGGUGAAAUGUUCAGAUCGCAGCGACGUGGGCGGUUCGCUGCCCGCGACGUCGCGAGAAGUCCAUUGAACCUUAUUAUUUAGAGGAAGGAGAAGUAGUAACAAGGUUUCCAUAGGUGAACCUGCGGAAG
rnacentral:rRNA from 1 species